GUUUGAUCCUGCCUCAGGACGAACGCUGGCGGCGUGCUUAACACAUGCAAGUCGAACGAGAAUCUUUUUAACGGAAGCCUUCGGGCAGAAGACUAAAAGAGGAAAGUGGCGGACGGGUGAGUAACGCGUGAGCAACCUACCUUACACAACGGGAUAGCCAUGGGAAACUGUGAUUAAUACCGUAUGAAACCUUUAGUGCGAGUGCACAUAAGGUUAAAGAUUUAUCGGUGUAAGAUGGGCUCGCGUCUGAUUAGCUAGUUGGUGAGGUAACGGCUCACCAAGGCGACGAUGCGUAGCCGACCUGAGAGGGUGAUCGGCCACAUUGGGACUGAGACACGGCCCAGACUCCUACGGGAGGCAGCAGUGGGGAAUAUUGCACAAUGGGGGAAACCCUGAUGCAGCAACGCCGCGUGAGUGAUGACGGCCUUCGGGUUGUAAAGCUCUGUCUUCAGGGACGAUAAUGACGGUACCUGAGGAGGAAGCCACGGCUAACUACGUGCCAGCAGCCGCGGUAAUACGUAGGGAGCAAGCGUUAUCCGGAUUUACUGGGUGUAAAGGGCGUGUAGGCGGGACAACAAGUCAGAUGUGAAAACUAUGGGCUCAACCCAUAGCCUGCAUUUGAAACUGUCGUUCUUGAGUGCUGGAGAGGCAAAUGGAACUCCUAGUGUAGCGGUGAAAUGCGUAGAUAUUAGGAAGAACACCAGUGGCGAAGGCGAUUUGCUGGACAGUAACUGACGCUGAUGCGCGAAAGUGUGGGGAGCAAACAGGAUUAGAUACCCUGGUAGUCCACACCGUAAACGAUGAGCACCAGGUGUCGGACUCGAGAGAGUUCGGUGCCGAAGCUAACGC
rnacentral:rRNA from 1 species